GGCUUGUAACUCAGUUGGUAGAGUACUUGCUUUGCAUGCACAAGGCCCUGGGUUCCAUCCCCAGCACCA
rnacentral:tRNA from 1 species